rnacentral:rRNA from 1 species
AGAGUUUGAUUCUGGCUCAGAUUGAACGCUGGCGGUAUGCCUAACACAUGCAAGUCGAACGGUAACGACGAAAGCUUGCUUUCGGGCGACGAGUGGCGGACGGGUGAGUAUCGCGUGGGAAUCUACCUUGUAGCGGGGGACAACUCGGGGAAACUCGAGCUAAUACCGCAUAAUCCCUUCGGGGGAAAGGCUUCGGCCACUACUAGAUGAGCCCGCGUCCGAUUAGCUUGUUGGUGAGGUAAUGGCUCACCAAGGCUACGAUCGGUAGCUGGUCUGAGAGGACGAUCAGCCACACUGGGACUUAGACACGGCCCAGACUCCUACGGGAGGCAGCAGUGGGGAAUAUUGCACAAUGGGCGAAAGCCUGAUGCAGCAAUNCCGCGUGUGUGAAGAAGGCCUGCGGGUUGUAAAGCACUUUCAGUAGGNAAGAUAAUGACGGUACCUACAGAAGAAGCACCGGCUAACUCCGUGCCAGCAGCCGCGGUAAUACGGAGGGUGCGAGCGUUAAUCGGAAUUACUGGGCGUAAAGCGCGCGUAGGCGGCUCAUUAAGUCGGAUGUGAAAGCCCUGGGCUUAACCUAGGAACUGCAUUCGAUACUGGUGGGCUAGAGUAUAGAAGAGGGAAGCGGAAUUCCGGGUGUAGCGGUGAAAUGCGUAGAUAUCCGGAGGAACACCAGUGGCGAAGGCGGCUUCCUGGGCUAAUACUGACGCUAAGGUGCGAAAGCGUGGGGAGCAAACAGGAUUAGAUACCCUGGUAGUCCACGCCCUAAACGAUGUCAACUAGCCGUUGGGUCCAUUAAAGGGCUCAGUGGCGCAGCUAACGCGAUAAGUUGACCGCCUGGGGAGUACGGCCGCAAGGUUAAAACUCAAAGAAAUUGACGGGGGCCCGCAC